rnacentral:tRNA from 1 species
GGGGAUUUAGCUCAAUGGUAGAGCACUUACCUAGCACAUAAGAGGACUUGAAUUCAAUACCUA